rnacentral:rRNA from 1 species
AGGGCGGGACACGUGAUAUCCUGUCUGAAUAUGGGGGGACCAUCCUCCAAGGCUAAAUACUCCUGACUGACCGAUAGUGAACCAGUACCGUGAGGGAAAGGCGAAAAGAACCCCUGGGGUCAGCGACUUAUAUUCAGUGGCAAGGUUAACCGUAUAGGGGAGCCGUAGCGAAAGCGAGUCUUAACUGGGCGCUCAGUCUCUGGAUAUAGACCCGAAACCGGGUGAUCUAGCCAUGGGCAGGUUGAAGGUUGAGUAACAUCAACUGGAGGACCGAACCGACUAAUG